CAAGGUCAACCCAACCCAAGGUCAACCAAGGUCAACCCAAGGUCAGCCAAGGUCAACCAAACCCAACUCAACGUCAACCAAGGUCAACCCAAUCCAAGUCAAGGUCAACCAAGGUCAACCCAACCCUUGGUCAACCCAACCAAUGGUCAGCAAGGCCAAACCAACCCAACGACCAACGCGAGUCAAGACCGGACAAUCGAUGGUCAACGUCAAGACCAACCCAACGGUCAUCUCAAGACCAACCCAAUGGUCAGCUCAAGAUCAAGACCACCCCAGUGGUCAGCCCAAUUAACCGUUCACGAAAUCAAGACCAACCCAACGGUCAUCUCCAUCCAU
ensembl:lncRNA